rnacentral:rRNA from 1 species
CCUACGGGAGGCAGCAGUGAGGAAUAUUGGUCAAUGGUCGGGAGACUGAACCAGCCAAGCCGCGUGAGGGAGGAAGGCACAGAGGAUUGUAAACCUCUUUUGUCAGGGAACAAAGACUGGGACGCGUCCCCGGAUGAGUGUACCUGAAGAAAAAGCAUCGGCUAACUCCGUGCCAGCAGCCGCGGUAAUACGGAGGGGGCAAGCGUUAUCCGGAUUUACUGGGUGUAAAGGGAGCGUAGGCGGCAGCGCAAGUCUGGAGUGAAAUCCCAUGGCUUAACCCUGGAACUGCCUUGGAAACUGGGCAGCUAGAGUGCAGGAGAGGUAGGCGGAAUGCCUAGUGUAGCGGUGAAAUGCGUAGAUAUUAGGAGGAACACCGGUGGCGAAGGCAGCUUACUGGACUGUAACUGACGUUGAGGCUCGAAAGCGUGGGGAGCAAACAGGAUUAGAUACCCUGGUAGUC